rnacentral:rRNA from 1 species
UACAGAGGUCUCAAGCGUUGUUCGGAUUCAUUGGGCGUAAAGGGUGCGUAGGCGGCGCGGUAAGUCGGGGUGUGAAAUCUCGGAGCUUAACUCCGAAACUGCAUUCGAUACUGCCGUGCUUGAGGACUGGAGAGGAGACUGGAAUUUACGGUGUAGCGGUGAAAUGCGUAGAUAUCGUAAGGAAGACCAGUGGCGAAGGCGGGUCUCUGGACAGUUCCUGACGCUGAGGCGCGAAGGCCAGGGGGAGCAAACGGGG